rnacentral:lncRNA from 1 species
GGGCGGCUCCCGCUGCGGCCCGGCUGCGGCAGCAGCAGCGGGGGGCUGGGGGGGGCUCGGGGCCCGGCUGGGGCGAGCCGGGUCGCGUUAUCCCGAGCCCAACCGAGCCCAACCGAGCCGGCCAUGGCCCUGCUGCGAGCCGCCCCUUUACCCACCGAGCCUGCACCCUGCUGGCUGCCCACCCACGUCCAGGUGACGGCGGUGCGGGCCCGGGGGCUGCGCUGCAAGGGCGGUGGCAGCACCGGGGGAAGCAGCAGCACCACCACCAGCAGCAGCAGCAAUAGCAGCCCAGCAGCGGGGCCCGGCGAUGUGUACGCCGUGCUGGAGCUGGGCCGGCAGCGGCAUCCGCACGGCCGUGGCGGAGCGGAGCGGGGGCAGCGCAGAGUGGCAAGGAGGAGGGCUGCGCCCUGGAGCUGCCCCCCGAGUCCGGCUCGCCCCCCAUCCUCACCAUCACCGUGCUGCAGAGAGCCCUGCUGGGUGCCGACCGGUUCCUGGGGCGCUGCAGCCUGGUACUGCCCUGCCCGGCCCCCCCACGAGCGAGCGUGGAGCUGGGGUGGCACAAGCUCCACUCCAAGGCUGGGAAGAAGGAGAAGGAGCGGGGCGAGGUGGAAGUGAGCGUGCAGUUCACGCGCAGCAGCCUGACGGCCAGCAUGUUCGACCUGUCCGCCAAGGACAAACCGCGCUCGCCCUUCGGCAAGCUGAAGGACAAGAUGAAAGGCAAGAAGAAAUACGACCUGGAGUCGGCCUCUGCCAUCAUCCCCAGCAGCGUGGGCGCCCUCGACGUGGAGGAUGACUUCGACGUCGGGGCCAAGAAGUCCAAAAUUAAAGGGUUUCCUGAAGAGCAAGCUGCGCAAAUCGUCCCUGACGCAGUCCAACACCUCGCUGGGCUCCGACAGCACCAUCUCCUCGGCCAGCCUGGGUCCCGGCUGCAAACGAGGGAACCAAAUCCCCCAGCAGACACAGCAGCCUGUCCACGGAGCGCUCUGGUAAGAGGAUCAGGGCUUUAAAUCCCCCUCCCAGCCUUUUUUUUCCCCUUUUCUUUGUUGCUGCAAACCUGGUCGCUAAUUCCUUCCCUAAGGAGCAGCGUCCCGCACAAGCCCCCCCGAGACCUUCUCCGUGCUUGCUAGAAUGGGGGAAAACACCCAAAUUUUUGCUUUUAAUGCCAAGCCUGUGUGCAGACAGCCGUGCUCCGGGGCUGGUUUGCGCUGCUGUGUGCACGCCACGAGCCCGCAGUGCCACCAACCCUAUAGGCAACAGGUUGCAGGGGUUGUGUGGGGCUGUUUCUCCCUUGACACCCCAAAACUGGUCACAAAC